AAACCCAGUGACACGGGGGAGAUGACAUACAAAAAGGGCAGGACCUGAGAAAGAUUAAGCUGCAGGCUCCCUGCCCAUAAAACAGGGUGUGAAAGGCAUCUCAGCGGCUGCCCCACCAUGGCUACCUGGGCCCUCCUGCUCCUUGCAGCCACGCUCCUGGGCAACCCAGGUCUGGUCUUCUCUCGUCUGAGCCCUGAGUACUACGACCUGGCAAGAGCCCACCUGCGUGAUGAGGAGAAAUCCUGCCCGUGCCUGGCCCAGGAGGGCCCCCAGGGUGACCUGUUGACCAAAACACAGGAGCUGGGCCGUAACUACAGGACCUGUCUGAUGAUAAUCCAAAGACUGAAGGAUAUGGUGGAGGAUCAGCCCACCCAGGUGAGGCCAAGGGGCUACAGAGCCUCCUGUCUGCUGCUCAAUGGAGGGGCCAGCCUGUGACCAGGUCGGGGAUCGGGGAGCCCGGGGGCACCUUGCACAGUGAUCCUGGGGGAGGGCUUCCGAGAAGGGAAUCUGUGAGUCCCCGUGUGUCUGUGGAUGAAUUUCAGAGAACUUGUGAAAUUGUGACUCUCUGGAACUGUGUAAGUCAGACGGCAGAGUAUACAUGGUUUUCAUCAUGUAUCCUCAAAGAGGGCUUGUCCCAGAGAAGUUAGGAAUCUUCCCCUAAAGCCCUAACGUUUGUGUCCAAGGCAGAGUUUGAGAAGCUAGUUCCCCAAGAGGCCUGGGUCAGGACUGAUAAAUCCCAGAUCUGCUACUUCCA
rnacentral:sRNA from 1 species